rnacentral:tRNA from 1 species
CCUCCUUUCUAGGGAGUAAUCCCGCAUUCUGCGGGAUACGGUCGGAACUGUUUUCACUUCCUGCGUAUACCAAAAAAUAUUCAUGUGGGCUUGCGUUUAUCUUGAUGGACACAAUUACAAUUGGUUGAACAUGGGCCUGUAGCUCAGGUGGUUAGAGCGCACGCCUGAUAAGCGUGAGGUCGGAAGUUCAAGUCUUCCCAGGCCCACUGUUUUUGAAAAAAUAAUCUAGUCCCUGCAAUGAUAUAUUAAAAUUGCUGAGGGGCUGUAGCUCAAUUGGGAGAGCACCUGGUUUGCAACCAGGAGGUCGUCGGUUCGAUCCCGGUCAGCUCCACUAAAAAGUUUUUUGACAAUUGGUCAAUGGAUUCACCGAUUAAACAUUCAUUUAGAAUACACAAGCGUUGGAAAAAGUUACUAAGGGCGCACGGAGGAUGCCUUGGCAUAUGGAGGCGAUGAAG